UACAGGAGGGGCAAGCGUUGUUCGGAAUUACUGGGCGUAAAGGGCGCGUAGGUGGCCUUCUAAGUCGAACGUGAAAUCCCCGGGCUCAACCCGGGAACUGCGUCCGAUACUGGAAGGCUUGAAUCCGGGAGAGGGAUGCGGGAAUUCCAGGUGUAGCGGUGAAAUGCGUAGAUAUCUGGAGAACACCGGUGGCGAAGGCGGCAUCCUCGGACCGG
rnacentral:rRNA from 1 species